AUGGUGUCUGAACCAGCUGGUCCUCAGCAGA
rnacentral:piRNA from 1 species